GUCCUUUGGACCCAGGACCUGGGCUGAGAAGCUCCUGGAAGCGGGAGACAGAGAGAGAGAGCUAUAACCCUGAAGCUGGUGAGAAGUGGUGACAGGAGAGACCCAGCAGCGGGAGACAGCAUGCAGUGGGCUUCCUGGCUCACAGAGAGAGAAAGCUGAGUGCCCUUGGACAGAGGCCAGGGCCAGGGAGAGGCGUGCCUGAGAGCACAGCUAGGAAGAGCCUCCUGAUGGAAGAACUGUAUCCUGAGUGUUCCUGGGCCUGAAUCGUAACCUAUUACUUCCCUAAUAAGCCCCAUAAUCAUGAGUAUGGUCUGCGAGUCUUGCGUGGCCAUUGCAAUGAAUUAUUGAACCCAGCAGAGCCGUAUAGAGUGCUGUGGGAGGGACGGUUGGUGUCAGAAUUGGUAAAGAUGGCAGAAAGAGGAAGGAUGUGUAGCUUUCACCUCACGGAGUCAGGCUUAUGCUGUUGAUCUUGGUUCUCCUUCCGCCUUGAGGACUUGGAGGAGGUCAGACACUGCCCUCAAGCUCUCUUUAUACCUGCUCACUAGAAUCUAAGAUCCAGGUGGGUGGUGUCUGUUCUGUUCGCUGCCAUGUCCUCAGUAUCUAGAGUGCUACGUGAUGCAUAAUCCAAACCUGCUGCUCUCUAGUCGAUUCCAACCCACAGCGACCACACAGGAGGGAAUAGAACUGCCCCAUAGAGUUUCCAGGGCUGCAGGCUUUACAGAAGCAGACUGCCACAUCUUUAUCCCAUGGAGCAGCUGGUGGGUUUGGACUGCUGGCCUUUUGGUCAACAGCCAAGAACUUAACCACUGUGCCGCCAUGACUCCUAUUAGUACAUAGUAAAAAAAAAUUCUCAAAAAUAUGUAUAUUACACAUGGGGGGGGUGGAACUUUUUGUAUCCCUGUCUCCCUCCUUCCUGUACCAGAGGUACAUACUCUUACUAAUUUGCUAAGUCUCCUUCUAGUCCAUUUUUCACACACACCAAAAUACACACUCAUGUAUAUGUAAACAAGAUAGGAUAUUGUUUUAUACGGAUUUAUACUUUUUGUAUAAGGGGCCCUGGUGGUGCUGUUGUUAAGCACUCAGCUACUAACCGAAAGGUUGGCAGUUCAAAUCCACCAGCCAGCUCGGCCAGAAAGAUGUGACUGUCUGCUUCCGUAAAGAUGUAUAGCCUUAGACACCCUAUGGGGGCAGUUCUACUCUGUCCUACAGUAGCUGUGAGUUGGAACCUGCUUGACAGCAGUGGGUUUUGAUUUAUACUUUUUAUAUAAAUAGUAGCAUAUUGUACAUAUCUUUGCAACUUUCUCACUCCACUUUGUACUUGUCUAGUUUGUCCAUUUCAGCAACUGCAUAGAAUUGAGUUGUAGGGAUCCCCUCACUUUAUUGAUGGACUUCUAGUCUGUUGCCAGUUAUUCUCUGUUGCAAACAUCACUCAGCCCUACCCUGAUCCAGGAACCUUUUCUCUGAGGCACAUGACCCCACCUCCCUAGGAAGGCUGCUGCUUCAUCCUGGGCAACUGGGGCAGGAUGCCACUGGCUGUCAUGGGAGGAACACUGGUGGGCUGGAAGAUCUGAUGUUUAUGUGGGACUCUGUCACCCCUUGCUGUGUGACUUCCCCAGCCUGGGCCUUAGUAUCUAUUUGUAAAACUGAGGGCUCUGUUUGACUGGUGGGUUUUCCACCUGAGUUCCCUAGAGCCUCAGGAUUCUACCGAGGGGCCCGGGGUCAGAAGUUGUCCAGAAUCAGCCAGGACAGAGGAAUUUUGAUCGGUGGGCUUUGUAGGUGGCUGUCUGUCCAUCUGUUUUUUCCACCAGCAUCUCUUCACCCUUCUGGGAAAACACAUGUGGUGGAAUUUCCUCUGGGAAGACCCCCUCACCCUAUCUUCUGCUCAGGGGGCCUCUAGAGUGAACCCUGAGUCUGAGCUAGUUAGCAUAGCCCAUCCCCUUUGCUACCAUGAUUGGUUCAGAGAUGAUCAUGUCACCCAAUUUGAGCCAUUGAGACUCAGGCCCAGGACUUCUGUCCAACCCUCUCUGGGUGGAAUUUGAAGGUGAGAGGAUGUAAGUGCAGGAAGAGUUGCAGCCAUCUUGCAGCCAUGAGGGGAAGAUGCAGAGGUUCUGGGAGCCACCAGAUGUGGCAGCUGAGAGAUUUCCCAGAAAGCCUCUCCCCUGCACCUUGCGUACCUAAAGCGGGAAACCGCCUCAGCUUUGCCAAGGACUGUGUCAUCCCCUGGGAAGAUGGUGGCAGAAUAUUGGCGAGGCAGGAGAUGCCAGCGUAGUCUCAAGUGUCCACCUGAUCCAAGAAGCUCACUCCUCACCAGCAUCCCUCUCCAACCCAUUGUCCAGUCCAAUCCACGUCUGAAGAGUUGUCUUCGGGAAUGGUUCCUGUCCUGGGCCAACAGAAG